rnacentral:lncRNA from 1 species
CCUUUACUCAGUGCCCCCACCGCAUCUUCUAAAAGAAGCUACCAUAGGUGGUACCCUGGCUGUGUUUUGUGUGGUGGAAAGAAUGAGCCAAGUUAGAUAUUUUUGUUCUUCCAGGAGACUGGGAAGUAGCAGGAGAAUGAGUUGGUGGUGGGAAUUUUGUCAGAGGAAACUGUCAGGGCGAACACGUGCCCUUCCUCUUUGUGGACCAGCAGCACAUGGACAGGGCAAGACCCCAUCAGGAUCCACCUUCAGGAAUGGAGUGAGAUCCCCGACACCAUGCAUUGAACACAGAGUCUUCCUUAAAACAGCUUCCUGUUAUCUGAAGAACUUCAGUCAGACACCUCUGUGCCCCCAAAGAGUUCCUCUUCAGUACUACUCACCAUGUUGUUUACAGAUCAAGUCUUAGCAUCAUGCAUCCAAGUCAGAGAAGCCUGGUGCUGCCAAGAACAAAGCACCACCCCCAAAGCCUGUUCAACUUUCCCAGAUGACUGAAAACAACAUUUACAGGAUUUGUUGAAGUCAUCUAUUAAGCUCUGCUCUUCAGUCUCCUGCAUAGCCCAGGUAGACACUCAGUGUUAAUGAAAUGUGAUUUCAGAUUUUAUGGCCUGGCCAGGAAGUUAACAGGGUUUCCGGGCCGAUGGUCAGUCAACACUGCUGCAUGCACGUAUUUAGGUCUCAAGUUCUCCUGUCAACAAGAACAGCCUCCUGGGCGCAAGGUGGCAGUUGUGAAAGCUGCUCUGAGAGGACAGAGGCCUGGAUUCACAGACACCUGUUCCUGAGUGAGUCUUAAAAGCAAACCAUAAAGUACCCCUAGGGAGAAUUUUGGAGUAUUCAAGCUGCCUAAAAUGGAAGGAUUUACCUCCAGCCCCUGAAAGGCAGUGAGUGUGUGUUCACAUUAAGGGGUUCAGGCCCAGGUGAUUGCUCUAGACCUACACCAGCUUUGCAGACUUCCUCAUGUGCAGGCAGCCUUGAGCCAGGAGCACCAAACUGACUUGAGUUCAACACCAACAGGCUUGUGGCAGACGGCAUCUCCACCCCAUGGCCUUUUGUGUUCAUUUGAAUAUAUCUUUUUCUAGCGGAAGAUUUGUUUUCACAUGAGUUACAACAGCAUUAUGGUAUCUUUUUCCUAAUACAUGCUAUUAGAUUUGUGCAAUUCAUGCAGACCUGGAACCUAGAUCCCAGACCUGCAAGAGUGAAUAAGAUAAGGCAAGUUGGUGGUGUUCAAGCUUAUAAAGUUUUUAUCUUUUUUCUGUUCCUUUGUUGAGAUAUAAUUGACACAUAACUUUCUAAGUUGACAGUGUAUAAUGCAGUGUUUUGAUACAAAUAUUAAUGUUGCAAAAUGAUUACCACAAUAAGGUUCGUUAACAAACCCACCACUUCGAUAACUAUGUGUAGUGAGAAUAUUUAAGAUUUACUCUCACAGCAGCUUUCAAGUAUACAAUUCAGUACCGUUCCAUAGAGUCACCAUUCUGAAUAUUAGGGCCCAGAAUGCCCUGUAACUAGAGGUUUGCUUCCUUUGGCCAGUGUCUCCCCUAUUUUCCCCCUAGUCCCUCCCUCUUGCCUUAUCCCCAAAUCCUUGGAGACCACCCUUCUGUGCUAUUUCUGUGAGUUUGGCUUUAUUUAGAUUCUGCCUAUAUGUGGAAUCAGAGCGGUUUUUGUCUUUUUCUGUCUGACUGACUUCAGUUAGCAUCAUGCCCUGGGGGGUCCAUCCAUGUUGUAAACAUUAGAAUGGCUUCCUUGCUCCUAGCUGAGUAAUGCUCGUGUGUGUGUGUGUGUGUGUGUGUGUGUGUGUGACAUUUUUUGGCUGUUGUGAAUAAUGCUGCAAUGAACACAGUGGCACAGAUUUUCCUUGAAUAGAUGCCCAGAGGUAGGUUUACUGGAUCUGUUAUAUGGUAGUUCUGUUUUUAAUUGAUUGAACAGUCAUCUCCAUUACCGUUUUAAUGGCUGUACCAAUUUACAUGAGGGUUUCCUUUUCUCUAUAUCUUCACCAACCUGUAUGUGUUCUUUGAAAAAAAUAUUUAGGUUCUAUACUCAUUUUUAAAUCGAAUUAUUUUUUGCUAAUAUUUUGUACGAGUUUCUUGACUAUUUUGGAUUUUGACUUCUUAACCUGAUGUGUGAAUUGCAAAUAUCUUCUUUCAUUCAUGGGUUGCCUCUUCGUUUUAUUGUUUUUGUCUUUUUCCCCCCCUUUUGCUGUGCACAUGGCUUUUUANNNNNNNUUUCCCCCCCUUUUGCUGUGCACAUGGCUUUUUAGUUUGAAGUAGCCCCACUUGCUUAUUUUAAAUGUUGUUGCUUGUGUUUUUGGUGUACAUCGAAAAUGCCAAGAUCGUUGUGAAGGAAAUUUUACCCAAUAUUUUCUUCUAGGAGUUUAUAAUUUGAGGUCUUGCAUUUAAGUCUUUAAUCCAUUUUGAGUUAAUUUUUGUGAGUGGUGUAAGAUAGGGGUCCAGCUUAUUAUUUUGUUUGUGAUUAUCCAAUUUUAACACCAAUUAUGGAGAAGACUACUAAAGCCUUUUGCCCAUUGUGUAUUCUUAAGUCCCUUGUCAUGUACUCGUUAGCUGUAUAGAUUUAUUUCUGGACUCUCAAUUCUGUGCCAUUGGCUCUGUUUUUAUGCUGGUACCAUGCUAUGUUGAUUACUCAUCUGUGAGGUAUAGUUUGAAAUCAGAGAGCAUGAUACUUCUAGCUUUGUUAUUUUUUUCUCAAGGUUAUUUUUCUUAUUCAUGGUCUUUUGUAUUUCCAUACAAAUUUUAAUAUUGUUUUUUCGAUUUCUGUGAAAAAUGUCACUGAAAUUUUGAUAGGGAUUAUGUUGAUUCUGUAGAUGACCUUGGGUAGUAUGGAUUUUUUGACAGUGUUCUGAUCUACAAACACAGGCUAUCUUUCCAUUUAUCUGUGUUCUUUUCAAUUUCUUUGAUCAUAAUUUACAAUGUAGAGAUCUUUCACCUCCUUGGUUAAAUUUAUUUCUAAGUAUUUUAUACUCUACAAUCAAGCACAUUAAUAUUUCUGGGACAAAACAAAUGUUCAUGCUAAGUGUAGUAAGUGACGACUAUACUUCUGCACCUCAGUUCAGGGUAAUUUUGUCCCAGAUGCAUCAUGAAAAAAUGUCUGGUAGUCUUUGAAUGUUCCAUCUUAGAAAUGGAAAUGAAGGAUUUGUGGACCUGUACUCCUGUAUCAUUGUGGACAGUGACUGCAACCAUGAAAUGAAAAGACACUUG